rnacentral:rRNA from 1 species
CCUACGGGGGGCAGCAGUGAGGAAUAUUGGUCAAUGGGCAGGAGCCUGAACCAGCCAAGCCGCGUGAGGGAAGAAGGUACAGCGUAUCGUAAACCUCUUUUGUCAGGGAACAAAGGCGGGGACUAGUCCCCGGCUGAGGGUACCUGAAGAAAAAGCAUCGGCUAACUCCGUGCCAGCAGCCGCGGUAAUACGGAGGAUGCGAGCGUUAUCCGGAUUUAUUGGGUUAAAAGGGUGCGCAGGCGGCCUGUUAAGUCAGCGGUAAAAGCCCGGGGCUAAACCCCGGCGAGCCGUUGAAACUGGCGGGCUGGAGUGGGAGAGAAGUACGCGGAAUGCGCGGUGUAGCGGUGAAAUGCUUAGAUAUCGCGCAGAACCCCGAUUGCGAAGGCAGCGUACCGGCUCCACACUGACGCUGAGGCACGAAAGCGUGGGUAUCGAACAGGAUUAGAUACCCUUGUAGUC